UACGGAAGGCAGCAGUGGGGAAUAUUGCACAAUGGGCGAAAGCCUGAUGCAGCUAUGCCGCGUGUAUGAAGAAGGCCUUAGGGUUGUAAAGUACUUUCAUCGGGGAGGAAAAACAAAACUAAUAAUUUUAUUUCUUGACGUUACCCGAAAAAGAAGCACCGGCUAACUCCGUGCCAGCAGCCGCGGUAAUACGGAGGGUGCUAGCGUUAAUCAGAAUUACUGGGCGUAAAGAGCACGUAGGUGGUUUUUUAAGUCAGAUGUGAAAUCCCUGGGCUUAACCUAGGAACUGCAUUUUGAAAACUGAAAUACUAGAGUAUCGUAGAGGGAGGUAGAAUUCUAGGUGUAGCGGUGAAAUGCGUAGAUAUCUGGAGGAAUACCUGUGGCGAAAAGCGGCCUCCUAAAACGAAUAACUGACACUGAGGUGCGAAAAGCGUGGGGAGCAAAACAGGGAUUAGAUACC
rnacentral:rRNA from 1 species